rnacentral:rRNA from 1 species
GAUGAACGCUGGCGGCGUGCCUAAUACAUGCAAGUCGAGCGAACGGACGAGAAGCUUGCUUCUCUGACGUUAGCGGCGGACGGGUGAGUAACACGUGGAUAACCUACCUAUAAGACUGGGAUAACUUCGGGAAACCGGAGCUAAUACCGGAUAAUAUUUUGAACCGCAUGGUUCAAUAGUGAAAGACGGUUUUGCUGUCACUUAUAGAUGGAUCCGCGCUGCAUUAGCUAGUUGGUAAGGUAACGGCUUACCAAGGCAACGAUGCAUAGCCGACCUGAGAGGGUGAUCGGCCACACUGGAACUGAGACACGGUCCAGACUCCUACGGGAGGCAGCAGUAGGGAAUCUUCCGCAAUGGGCGAAAGCCUGACGGAGCAACGCCGCGUGAGUGAUGAAGGUCUUCGGAUCGUAAAACUCUGUUAUUAGGGAAGAACAAAUGUGUAAGUAACUGUGCACAUCUUGACGGUACCUAAUCAGAAAGCCACGGCUAACUACGUG